rnacentral:rRNA from 1 species
GACGAACGCUGGCGGCGUGCCUAAUACAUGCAAGUAGAACGCUGAAGGAGGAGCUUGCUUCUCUGGAUGAGUUGCGAACGGGUGAGUAACGCGUAGGUAACCUGCCUGGUAGCGGGGGAUAACUAUUGGAAACGAUAGCUAAUACCGCAUAAGAGUAGAUGUUGCAUGACAUUUGCUUAAAAGGUGCAAUUGCAUCACUACCAGAUGGACCUGCGUUGUAUUAGCUAGUUGGUGGGGUAACGGCUUACCAAGGCGACGAUACAUAGCCGACCUGAGAGGGGGAUCGGCCACACUGGGACUGAGACACGGCCCAGGCUCCUCCGGGAGGCAGCCGUAAGGAAUCUUCGGCAAUGGACGGAAGGCUUACCGAGCAACGCCGCGUGAGUGAAGAAGGUUUUCGGAUCGUUAAGCUCUGUUGUAAGAGAAGAACGAGUGUGGGAGUGGAAAGUUCACACUGUGACGGUAGCUUACCAGAAAGGGACGGCUAACUACGUG